rnacentral:rRNA from 1 species
UACGUAGGGGGCUAGCGUUGUCCGGAAUCAUUGGGCGUAAAGCGCGUGUAGGCGGUCCGGUAAGUCCGCUGUGAAAGUCGGGGGCUCAACCCUCGGAUGCCGGUGGAUACUGUCGGGCUUGAGUACGGAAGAGGCGAGUGGAAUUCCUGGUGUAGCGGUGAAAUGCGCAGAUAUCAGGAGGAACACCAAUUGCGAAGGCAGCUCGCUGGGACGUUACUGACGUUGAGACGCGAAAGCGUGGGGAGCAAACAGG